ACGUUUUUAGUUUAAUUGGAUAAAACAUCAAUCUUCUAAAUUGAAUAUUAGAGGUUCGAAUCCUCUAAAACGUA
rnacentral:tRNA from 1 species